GGACGGUGGGGGGGGGGCCUAAUACAUGCAGUCGAGCGGAUUGAUGGGAGCUUGCUCCCAUCAGUCAGCGGCGGACGGGUGAGUAACACGUGGGUAACCUGCCUGUAAGACUGGGAUAACUCCGGGAAACCGGGGCUAAUACCGGAUAACUCAUUUCCUCGCAUGAGGAAAUGUUGAAAGAUGGCUUCUUGCUAUCACUUACAGAUGGACCCGCGGCGCAUUACCUAGUUGGUGAGGUAACGGCUCACCAAGGCGACAAUGCGUAGCCAACCUGAAAGGGUGAUCGGCCACACUGGGACUGAAACACGGCCCAAACUCCUACGGGAGGCAGCAGUAGGGAAUCUUCCGCAAUGGACAAAAGUCUGACGGAGCAACGCCGCGUGAGUGAUGAAGGUUUUCGGAUCGUAAAACUCUGUUGUUAGGGAAAAACAAGUACCGUUCGAAUAGGGCGGUACCUUGACGGUACCUAACCAAAAAGCCACGGCUAACUACGUGCCACCAGCCGCGGUAAUACGUAGGUGGCAAGCGUUGUCCGGAAUUAUUGGGCGUAAAGCGCGCGCAGGUGGUUUCUUAAGUCUGAUGUGAAAGCCCACGGCUCAACCGUGGAGGGUCAUUGGAAACUGGGGAACUUGAGUGCAGAAAAGGAAAGUGGAAUUCCAAGUGUAGCGGUGAAAUGCGUAGAUAUUUGGAGGAACACCAGUGGCGAAGGCGACUUUCUGGUCUGUAACUGACACUGAGGCGCGAAAGCGUGGGGAGCAAACAGGAUUAGAUACCCUGGUAGUCCACGCCGUAAACGAUGAGUGCUAAGUGUUAGAGGGUUUCCGCCCUUUAGUGCUGCAGCUAACGCAUUAAGCACUCCGCCUGGGGAGUACGGUCGCAAGACUGAAACUCAAAGGAAUUGACGGGGGCCCGCACAAGCGGUGAGCAUGUGUUUAUUCGAAGCAACGCGAGAACCUUACCAGGUCUUGACAUCUCUGACACCCUAGAGAUAGGGCUUUCCCUUCGGGGACAGAGUGACAAGGUGGUGCAUGGUUGUCGUCAGCUCGUGUCGGGAAUGUUGGGUUAAGC
rnacentral:rRNA from 1 species